UAAAAGAUAAGCUAAAUUAAGCUAAAAGGCUCAUACCCUUUUUAUAUAGAAUUCCUAUUCUUUUAA
rnacentral:tRNA from 1 species